rnacentral:rRNA from 1 species
UACGGAGAGGCAGCAGUGGGGAAUAUUGCACAAUGGGCGCAAGCCUGAUGCAGCCAUGCCGCGUGUAUGAAGAAGGCCUUCGGGUUGUAAAGUACUUUCAGUCGUGAGGAAGGUGUUAAGGUUAAUAACCUUAGCAAUUGACGUUAGCGACAGAAGAAGCACCGGCUAACUCCGUGCCAGCAGCCGCGGUAAUACGGAGGGUGCGAGCGUUAAUCGGAAUUACUGGGCGUAAAGGGCACGCAGGCGGUUAAUUAAGUUGGAUGUGAAAUCCCCGGGCUUAACCUGGGAAUGGCAUUCAAGACUGGUUAGCUAGAGUCUUGUAGAGGGGGUAGAAUUCCAUGUGUAGCGGUGAAAUGCGUAGAGAUGUGGAGGAAUACCGGUGGCGAAGGCGGCCCCUGGGACAAAGACUGACGCUCAUGUGCGAAAGCGUGGGGAGCAAACAGGAUUAGGAUACC